rnacentral:ncRNA from 1 species
GCAGAGUAGAGACUUGCGCGUCAAGUGCCGGCCCGACGGGGAGUUGCGGGCCGGACGAAAAGCGCAUCGCUUGCGGUGUGAGUCUCGCAUCCCGCUGC